CCCGGAUGUUAGCGGCGGACGGGUGAGUAACACGUGGGUAACCUGCCUGUAAGACUGGGAUAACUCCGGGAAACCGGAGCUAAUACCGGAUAGUUCCUUGAACCGCAUGGUUCAAGGAUGAAAGACGGUUUCGGCUGUCACUUACAGAUGGACCCGCGGCGCAUUAGCUAGUUGGUGGGGUAAUGGCUCACCAAGGCGACGAUGCGUAGCCGACCUGAGAGGGUGAUCGGCCACACUGGGACUGAGACACGGCCCAGACUCCUACGGGAGGCAGCAGUAGGGAAUCUUCCGCAAUGGACGAAAGUCUGACGGAGCAACGCCGCGUGAGUGAUGAAGGUUUUCGGAUCGUAAAGCUCUGUUGUUAGGGAAGAACAAGUGCGAGAGUAACUGCUCGCACCUUGACGGUACCUAACCAGAAAGCCACGGCUAACUACGUGCCAGCAGCCGCGGUAAUACGUAGGUGGCAAGCGUUGUCCGGAAUUAUUGGGCGUAAAGGGCUCGCAGGCGGUUUCUUAAGUCUGAUGUG
rnacentral:rRNA from 1 species